AAAGAGAGAGGUGCGUGGUCAGGGAGCAGCCCCAUGUGCGGGUGAAACAUCUCUGAAAAACUCCGUCAAAAGGACCAAAUGAGCAUCUCACGUGGAGAUGGAAGAGGGAUGUGGUCCAGACGCUGUGGGCAGCGUCCCUAGUCACGGUGUCCAUAGGCUGCGACCCAGAAGCACAAUUUUAUGGGCUCUUCACUGAUGUAUCCCCAGGCCCCAGAAUGCUGCCUAGGUUACAAAUAAAGUUGAUUAAAAGACAGUCGCACAAUAUGGCACCCACCUUGUGAAGUACGACAUUUCCAACCACUGUCAGAAACGUGGAAGUUUAAAGGAAAGCUCUAUCAAGUCACUUUGCAAAAUUUCACCGGAUGACCUCUAGCGCUAUGAAAAUAGCUGAGUCAGAACACAGCUGGUGGAAAAGAAAAUGGCAUGAACCCUCUAAAUCAGCAUGGUAGAGAAAAUGCCAUGCUGUCCUGGAAGCUCUCCUGGAGGAGGAAAUGGCAACCCGCUCCAAUAUUCUUGCGUGGGAAAUCCCAUGGACAGAGGAGCUUGGCAUACUACAGUCCAUGGGUUCACAAAAGAGAUGGACACGACUUAGCAACUAAACAACAACAACCAUCCUCCCUGGUUGGAGAAGGAAAUGGCAAGCCACUCCAGUGUUCUUGCCUGGAGAAUCCCAGGGACAGAGGAGCCUGGUGGGCUGCCGUCUAUGGGGUCGCACAGAGUUAGCAGGAGUAGCAGCAGCAACCCUUAUAGUUUCUCCACAACUUGAGUGCUGCAGAAUGGAAUCAUCAGAUGCAUUCCCUGUAAUUCCUGAUUUCCUGAAAGGAGGAGCUGGCCUUCACUUCCUCAGCUCUUCUGACUGCUGUACAGUUUUUUUGAUUACCUAUCUUACAUCUAUCCCUAACAAAAUCAACCAGAGCAAUUUUGGAUUUGCCACGCAUACUCUGAUGCACACUCAAAAGACUUAACACAUGUGAAAGUUCUAACAGACAAGAAGAAACAUUAUACAACUGUUAGGUACUUUUCCUCUCCCCAUACUUUCUUUUCUUCUGGGGAAAAAAUCUCAUUUGUCAUCCAAAUUACUAUGCAUUUUUCUUUUGUACUAUCUUACUGAAGCAUAAUGAAGCAACAUGGAUAAUAUAACACAUAAAAAUAAAUUUUGAGUACAAGGUUGUACAGUUUCUAUUGUGUAGUUGUAUCAGUCUUCUGCAAUUACAAAC
ensembl:lncRNA